rnacentral:misc_RNA from 1 species
GCACAAAUUCUUCAUGCCCACAACCACAGCAACCAGCCAAAACUCUUCUCCCAAUCUCAUCAUUCCUCCUCCUACAUCAAUCCCUUCUUCUUCUUAUCCUCCUCCUACUGGUACCCACUCCAACUUCCCCUUCCAAUUCCCACAGCAAUUCCACCAUGCCCCCUCGUAUGCUCCUCCCCAUGACAACCAUACCCAUAACCACCAUCACCCUCCUUCUUCUCCUAUCUCUAAUAUGCCACCGCAGCGCUCUUUGUCGUAUCCUACGCCUCCUCUUCAACCCCAACCUCAACCUCAGCCUCAACAGCAACAGCAGCAAAACCCUUCUCCUCGCAACAAUAAUGAUCGUAGUGGGGCUGAAAUCAUGGCCCUCCUCCGCCCUCCUCCACUGCUUAAUCAAGACCCAACACCGCCACCG